rnacentral:rRNA from 1 species
GAUGAACGCUGGCGGCGUGCCUAAUACAUGCAAGUCGAGCGAAGCGGGGACGGGUGAGUAACGCAUGGGUACCCUCCUAUAAGACUGGGAUAACUUCGGGAAACCGAAGCUAAACAGGAUACUUAUAGAUGGGUCCGCGUUGCAUUAGCUAGUUGGUAAGGUAACGGCUUACCAAGGCAACGAUGCAUAGCCGAACUGAGAGGGGGAUCGGCCACACUGGGACUGAGACACGGGCCAGACUCCUACGGGAGGCAGCAGUAGGGAAUCUUCCGCAAUGGGCGAAAGUCUGACGGAGCAACGCCGCGUGAGUGAUGAAGGUCUUCGGAUCGUAAAACUCUGUUAUUAGGGAAGCGGUAACUAACCAGAAAGCCACGGCUAACUACGUGCCAGCCGCCGCGGUAAUUC